UCCUGCAGCCGGGGAAGCAGCGGCUCUCUGUACCUGAAAUCCGCUAUAGCAGGGGUGAUGGCCUGCCGAGGCUGCCGAUUUUCAUAGCUGCCCUGCGAAAGUGGCGUUGAUAUUUGGGUCUUACGCAAUAGGACUCCGUGAACCGUGUCAGGUCAGGAAUGAAGCAGCACUAAGCAGAUGCUCCUAUGUGCCGUAAGGGUGCCUGGAUUGAGUUAACUGCGCAGGUAACGUAUGCGGAGGAGCGGUCGACGCAGGGCGCAGGA
rnacentral:SRP_RNA from 1 species